rnacentral:rRNA from 1 species
AUUGAACGCUGGCGGCAGGCUUAACACAUGCAAGUCGAGCGGGGUGAUGGUGCUUGCACUAUCACUUAGCGGCGGACGGGUGAGUAAUGCUUAGGAAUCUGCCUAUUAGUGGGGGACAACAUCUCGAAAGGGAUGCUAAUACCGCAUACGUCCUACGGGAGAAAGCAGGGGAUCACUUGUGACCUUGCGCUAAUAGAUGAGCCUAAGUCGGAUUAGCUAGUUGGUGGGGUAAAGGCCUACCAAGGCGACGAUCUGUAGCGGGUCUGAGAGGAUGAUCCGCCACACUGGGACUGGAACACGGCCCAGACUCCUACGGGAGGCAGCAGUGGGGAAUAUUGGACAAUGGGGGGAACCCUGAUCCAGCCAUGCCGCGUGUGUGAAGAAGGCCUUAUGGUUGUAAAGCACUUUAAGCGAGGAGGAGGCUCUUUUGGUUAAUACCCAAGAUGAGUGGACGUUACUCGCAGAAUAAGCACCGGCUAACUCUGUGCCAGCAGCCGCCGUAACAC